rnacentral:lncRNA from 1 species
AAGUUGUUGUUUAAGACAAAGACUCUGCUCAAGCAUGGUGGAUCUGUUAUGACAGUCAAACUUAAUGAAGUCCUUCGGCCUCAUCACUUAUUAUGUUCAGCAUCCCUCAGGAUCUUUCCAGCUUGUAUCCAAUCCACAUCAAGUGCUUGCACGACCACUGGACUGGAUGGAGAAUUGUGAACUGGCUCUUAAACGCUUCUGCCUGGAAGUGACACCUGUCAUUUCUGAUCACAUUUCAAUGGCAUGUGUCCAUGCAUAUUUUCAAAGAGAAAAGUGCCCUGAAGGAAAAGAGAACCAGAAAUCUUAA